UUUUUUUUUUUUUUUUUUUAAAGAUUCAUCUAAUUUGGUGUAGUGGCAAGGAUCUUUAAAAAAUGGCAAUAUCCUGUAAAGGAGAUUUUGCCCCUGGAACAUUGUGUUGUGUCCUAUGGACUAAUGAGUUGGCCCGACGAGGGGUGGAAGGGAGAUGUGGAGGAAGGAAGGUUUGUCUGGACCGGUGAUGAGUUCCACAGGGUAUCUGAACCAGGAUAUUGUGAGAACUGUUUACUGUUGUUUUUAAUUUCCUACCACAUUGAUUUGAAGAUUUGCCUAUCAGUGUGGCCCUGGCUGAUAAGGAGGGCGUCACAAGUGGUAGAAGAUGCUGGCGUCAUUAUCUUCCAUCAGAUGUCUUUAGACAAGGGCAGAUUCACUUAGUGCAAGGUCCAGCAGAGCAGCAGUCAAAGCAGACAGAGAUGAGCUCUGGGUGCUGGUGAAGGUCUCUCUUCCCCGAGCUCCUUGGUUAAGGAAGAUGGAUGCCUUCAGUAAAGGGAGAGUUUGGUCCCUGGAGUAUUGUGUUGUGUCCUAUGGAAUAAUGAUUUAACACGAGAGGAGAGAUGGAGGAAGGCUUUUCUGGAUCAGUGAGGAGAACUUGGGGGAUCUGAACUAAGAUAUUGUAACUAAACCCAUGUAUGUCUCUGAGGUCUUUUACAACUCUCCCUUCUUUAGGGAACACUUUGUGGGGCUGUGUCCUAGGCUGAUAGACAUGUGGAUACAUUGGUUUCUUUAUUUCUAUACUAGCAGUGAGGUGGGUGGUGGCAGAGCCCAACAAGCUACAGUCAUUCCCAGCUAGGGUUUUACUUUUCUAAUGAAAUUAGCCUGUGGAUCUUUAAAAAGUAUGAAUAAAAAAAGAGGACAAAAUGGUCAAUUAUUACAAAGGAGUAUAAUGAGACAAAGGUUGUUGUUAAAUCUACUCAACAGUUGGGGCUUAAGAACCAUUUUGUUUAGGGGUACAUGGUCAUUAAGUGUUUGUCCUAUGUUGGUAACUGGUCUCCCAUAGUUGUUCCUAGUUCACUUCAACCCCACGAUCCUAAGCACACCUGUACCUGCCCUGGAAUCCCUCAGCCAUGUUUGUCCCACAGAGCAUCACUAUCAAACAGUUCACUGUGGACUCCUCGUAGCAGAAGUACAGUAGGGGACAGCAAGUGUCAGCUCCAUCAGGACCCCUGAUUUAAUUAUUUACUGUGGAACCAUUGUCCUGAGUCAGGAGGAUAGAUGAGGAAAGAAUGAGAGCGUGGCUGGCAUCGCUUCAUGAUUACAUUCUGGGAAAGAUCUUGCCUGUUAACCUCUAGAGAAGGAGGGACGAUACAGACAAUGAAGACUAUAGCAGACUGAAUUACUCUCUGAGAUGAGGACUUUGCUAUUGCCAUUGCAGAACCACUGGUGGAAGUUGUUGUUAAACAGUGGGUCUUGCAUGCAAGCUCUACAGUUAUGCACAGUAUUUCCAUGACAUCCCAAGCCAUGAGGUUCAUGCUGCCAUAUCCCCCUGUUUAACAAGUGUGGAAACUGAUAAUGGACUCACAAUUGCUGAUGUAUAGGUUCUAAUGUUUUCUAUUGUGGACACGGGACACCCAGACUGAGAACCAAUGGCUCCAGUCUGAUUUAAACAUGGGUCCGUGCUCACACACUCAAUACCUACCCUCUGUGCUCACAAGUCCUGUGUGAGUAAGACUCCAAAUUAUUCUGUCUUGUUUUACUCAAUGGUAUGCUCUACCUUAUUAUAGAGUAUACCAUGUAUUGAGACAAGAAUGCCAGUCAUUCUGAGAAACAAAAUGCAACCAUUAGUUGUCAUUUUAAUUAGUGACGAAUAGUUGUGUCAAUCAUCAAACAUGCUUGUAUAAUUGGAUGAGAAGAGGUGUAACACGGGCCAAUGAUGACGAGGUUUCGGGAUUAUAAGUCACGGACGAUGACUACGUCACUAGAGGUCUGAGGUCCAUAGCAGAAGAUGCCUCAUGUGACCCUCUCAUGCAGGGGUUGCAUGUCAGGCAUGUGCAUACAGUAGAUAUUAGCCAUGCACUCUCACCAUUUCAUAGUAGAUCACAGAAUCAAGAUACAAAUCUCCAUGCACGGAAAGGAUUUAAGGCAUUGAUCAAUCCUGAACAUAAAUAUUUGGCCAUCAAUGAUAUUUACGCACACACUGAAAAAUCUAUUCAGAAUGACUUACACAAAGGUUUAUAUAACCUUUAUCAAAGGUAAUUUAUAUAGUAAGAUUCAUGGCUGAAGUCUUCAUGAUGGUCAAGGCCUUAAUUUUUAAAAUUAUCAAUUUUUUUCUUUUCUUUUUUUUUAACUUGAAUUUUUUUUUAAUGAAAACUAUCAUGACAAUUUGUCUCUUAAAUGAAAGGAGAAAUGUAAAACUAAAUGGACAAAUAUCAACCUUUUUAUUAUCUUUGCUGUUGUGCCCUCCCUGGAUGGGUGCUGGCACAUGAUGUCUUGCCUGCUGGUCCGUGGUUGCACUCUCACCAUGUGGAUGGAGCUCGGCAGCUGAAAAUGCAUUCUUCCACCAAGAUGAUUUACACAGCCUAGCUGGAUCAGGAGCCCCCUAAUAAGCUGCUUCAGAUUGUAAUAUAGACACAGUAAUGUAUGCCUGCAGGAUGAGUCCCACCUUCUUCAUUAGUCUUGAGGUUUGAGAUUCCCUGUUUGUGUCUGCAGGAUUCAGAUAGUAAUGGAUAUCCUGCAAGUCGGCUUCGUAGAGUCUCCCUUGAAAGUGGACCUCAUGAUCUAGCCUUUAUGUCCGUGGAUUGACACUGUGAUGGAUUCCCCCCAAGUUCAUUUAGAUAUUCUCUCUUAUUCAUAAAUGUCACGGUCAGCUCUGUUCUUAUAGAUACCAGAAUGGAUACCCCUAAGCUGAUGUAUAUACACCCUUCCUCGGUUGUGAGAUUCCUGCUCUGGUGGUUGUAGUCAUAAGAUAUACAUCGUUGCGUACACCUUGGUUGUGGGCACGCACACUACUGUUGAAUUACCACCUUGUCCAAGUGGAUGGAUGCCCUCAAUGGGAUUGGCACUUUCUCCAUUGCUCCUGCACUCUGUUAUCAGCACUUCGGGUUCAUAAUGUACACACAGCAUGCCUUCCUCACUGGUCACCAGGUUCAAGGUCCCUCAUAUGUGUCAGGUGCAUAGUCACCAACAAAGGCCAACUUCACAUCAAUGGGUGGAUCGUACCUCGGCCUAAGCUCCAGGAUUGAUUGUGCUGUUAGAGUCACAGCUACAACCGGCUCAGGGAACCCAGUGGAAGAGGAGGUGGAGUGUGAGAGCCAAUUGGAAUGGAAGACAGUGAGGAAACAAGGCCUUCGAGACACAAGAGGACUGCUGAGCUCACAAAGACUGAGGCAGCACCCUCAGGACCUGCACAGGUCUAAGCUUGAUGCGAUCUGAGUACUGAGAGGGCAACUGGACACAAUUCUAUAUUGAUAACCCAGAAGCUUUCUCCAGUUGAUAAACUCUUUCAAAGGAAAAACUUGUUUUCUACCAUGGAGUGACACUGGAUAUAGAAACUACCGUUAACAGCAGACUCCAUGGCUCAGACUUCCAAUACAAUAUGAACUCAGUUGCAAUUUUUUGCAAGGUUUUUCGACUCAUAGUUCUUUGUCUGGGUACUUUUUCACCCUACAGAGAAUUUCUGUAUAUAUUAUCGUUUCUGAUUCUAGUGUUUUGAAUUUUCGCUGGGUCUAAAUAUCUCUGUCUCAGUGUCAGUAUGUGUUUCUCAUGAUUUUUCUUUGCUUCUCUUUUUCCUAUUCUUUGCUUGUAUUCCCUGGUUUGUGUUUGAGUGUCUGGGAACUCUGAGGGUCUGGUUGGUGAUAUUGUUGUUCUUCCUAUGGGGUUGAAAACCCCUUCAGCUCCUUCAGCCUUUCACUAAGUCCUCCAUUAUUAUGAUUCCUAUGCUCAGUCCAGUGGUUGGAUGUGAGCCCCCCCCCCCCUCUGCAUUUGUCAGGCUCCGGCAGAGCCUCUAAGGAGAUAGCUAUAUUAGGCUCUUGUCAGCUUUGUUUGUUUUUAUUCUGUCUUCUCUAUACUGUUUAUUUUAGAUAACUGUGUUUAUUCUAAUGUAUGAAUGAAUAAAUGGGUGUGUGUUUGGGUGGGUGGGGAAUUGGGGAGGGUGGGGGUGGAUGUGGGAGGGGAAACUGUAACACAAAUACAUUGUAUAAAAGUACAUUUUAAUAAAUGUAUUUCUUCUAUGACUAAAAAAA
rnacentral:lncRNA from 1 species